rnacentral:snRNA from 1 species
AUAAGUGAGGAUGAUCUGGCUGUAACAUCUGUCACCCCAAUCAUCAAAGUUGAUUUGAAUAAUCUGACUGGGUAGUCAAGUGUUCUCUUUCCCUCUCGCUACUCUACGUGCAACCUUCCUGAAGAUGCAUUAUCAGUGGAAGAGGGCAACCAUCCCAGAUAGAAGGGGUGUAUGGUUCUUUGGUCAAGGGUAUACAUUAGCUGCACUCCUAUUACCUUGAGUCAAAGGCAGCAACUACACUCUUCUGUGUAUGAGUGUGAACUCUAGCUACCCUCUGUCCACAGAGAUCACAUUAAAAUAUGACCUUCCACGAAGGACCUGUUGUAUUU